UUUUAUCAAUCCUAAAAACCAAAGCCAUGACCAAUAGACUUCAUCAACCAUUCAACAACAAAGGCAUGAAAAAGUCAACAAAAAGGUCAAAAUAAAAUAAAUAAAGUGUGAAAUAAAAUAAAUGGUUAAAAAAUAAUUAAGGUGUAUUUACAAAAUAUUUUGAUUAAAGUAAAAUGAAUGGUGAAAUAUAUGUAAAAGAAAAUGAAAUAAAAUGUGAAAAUAAGAAAAAGAAAAGGGAAAAAGAG
rnacentral:lncRNA from 1 species